UACGAAGGGGGCUAGCGUUGUUCGGAAUUACUGGGCGUAAAGGGCGCGUAGGCGGCGUGUCAAGUCAGGCGUGAAAGCCCCGGGCUCAACCUGGGAACCGCGCUUGAGACUGGCAUGCUCGAGUUCGGGAGAGGGAUGCGGAAUUCCAGGUGUAGCGGUGAAAUGCGUAGAUAUCUGGAGGAACACCGGUGGCGAAAGCGGCUCUCUGGGACGGUACUGACGCUGAGACGCGAAAGCGUGGGGAGCAAACAGG
rnacentral:rRNA from 1 species